rnacentral:rRNA from 1 species
UACCAGCACCCCGAGUGGUCGGGACGGAUUAUUGGGCCUAAGGCAAUCCGUAGCCGGUUUUACAAGUCCUCCGUUAAAUCCAGCUGCUUAACAGAUGGGCUGCGGAGGAUACUAUAAGACUAGGAGGCAGGAGAGGCAAGCGGUACUCAGUGGGUAGGGGUAAAAUCCGUUGAUCCAUUGAAGACCACCAGUGGCGAAGGCGGCUUGCCAGAAUGCGCUCGACGGUGAGGGAUGAAAGCUGGGGGAGCAAACCGG